rnacentral:rRNA from 1 species
GACGGAGGAUGCAAGCGUUAUCCGGAAUGAUUGGGCGUAAAGCGUCCGCAGGUGGCAGUUCAAGUCUGCUGUCAAAGACCGGGGCUUAACUUCGGAAAGGCAGUGGAAACUGAACAGCUAGAGUAUGGUAGGGGCAGAGGGAAUUCCUGGUGUAGCGGUGAAAUGCGUAGAGAUCAGGAAGAACACCGAUGGCGAAGGCAGGUCUCUGGGCCGAUACUGACGCUGAGGAGCGAAAGCGUGGGGAGCGAACAGG